rnacentral:rRNA from 1 species
AAUGAACGCUGGCGGCGUGCCUAACACAUGCAAGUCGGAUGUGCCCGCAAGGGUGCAUGGCAGACGGGUGAGUAACGCGUGGGGAACCUACCUCUUUGUGGGGAAUAACGUUCCGAAAGGAAUGGUAAUACCGCAUGAGACCUUCGGCUGGGAUGCUGGAGGUGAAACCCGGGGACCGUAAGGCCUGGGGCAAGGAGAGGGUCCUGCGUCUGAUUAGCUAGUUGGCGGGGUAAUGGCCCACCAAGGCGACGAUCAGUAGCCGGCCUGAGAGGGUGAUCGGCCACACUGGAACUGAGACACGGUCCAGACUCCUACGGGAGGCAGCAGUGGGGAAUUUUGCGCAAUGGACGAAAGUCUGACGCAGCAACGCCGCGUGGGUGAUGAAGGUCUUCGGAUUGUAAAACCCUGUCGUCAGGGACGAAGGUUGGGGCUUUAAUAGAGUUUCAACUUGACGGUACCUGGAGAGGAAGCCCCGGCUAACUCUGUGCCAGCAGCCGCGGUAAUACAGAGGGGGCAAGCGUUAUUCGGAAUUACUGGGCGUAAAGGGCGCGUAGGCGGUUCUUUAAGUCGGAUGUGCAAUCCCCGAGCUCAACUUGGGAACUGCAUCCGAAACUGGGGAGCUAGAGUGCUGGAGAGGGUGGUGGAAUUCCACGUGUAGCGGUGAAAUGCGUAGAGAUGUGGAGGAACACCAGUGGCGAAGGCGGCCACCUGGACAGUAACUAACGCUGAGGCGCGAAAGUGUGGGUAGCAAACAGGAUUAGAUACCCUGGUAGUCG